rnacentral:rRNA from 1 species
UACAGAGGUCCCGAGCGUUGUUCGGAUUCACUGGGCGUAAAGGGUGCGUAGGCGGGUUAUUAAGUCAGUGGUGAAAGCCUACAGCUUAACUGUAGAAUUGCCAUUGAUACUGAUAAUCUUGAGUAUGAUUGAGGUGGGCGGAAUGUGUCAUGUAGCGGUGAAAUGCUUAGAUAUGACACAGAACACCGAUUGCGAAGGCAGCUCACUAAGCCAUAACUGACGCUGAUGCACGAAAGCGUGGGGAGCAAACAGG